AUUGAACGCUGGCGGCAUGCCUUACACAUGCAAGUCGAACGGUAGGGGGAGCAAUCCCCUGAGAGUGGCGAACGGGUGAGUAAAGCAUCGGAACGUGCCCAGUUGUGGGGGAUAACUACUCGAAAGAGUGGCUAAUACCGCAUACGACCUGAGGGUGAAAGCGGGGGACCGAAAGGCCUCGCGCAGUUGGAGCGGCCGAUGUCAGAUUAGCUAGUUGGGGGGGUAAAGGCCCACCAAGGCGACGAUCUGUAGCUGGUCUGAGAGGACGACCAGCCACACUGGAACUGAGACACGGCCCAGACUCCUACGGGAGGCAGCAGUGGGGAAUUUUGGACAAUGGGCGCAAGCCUGAUCCAGCCAUGCCGCGUGCAGGAAGAAGGCCUUCGGGUUGUAAACUGCUUUUGUCAGGGAAGAAAUCCCUUGGGUUAAUACCUCGGGGGGAUGACGGUACCUGAAGAAUAAGCACCGGCUAACUACGUGCCAGCCGCCGCCGUAAGAC
rnacentral:rRNA from 1 species